CAUGAGCCACCGUGCCCCGCCUAUUCUUCUUUUAAACCAAAAAAACUUUCAGAGGGUGUUUUCCCCGACGAGGAUGUUCCUGGCGGCCAGGUCCCGGUGGAUGUAAUUCUGCGACUCCAGGUAACACAUGCCCUCAGCCACCUGCCAGGCGAUGUCCAGCAGCUCCGAAACGGGCAGGACUUUCUCAUCAGAGUCUGCAGAGGGGAGUGGAGCAGAGCCUGGGGUCAGCUGAGCCAGCUGAGGUGGGGAAGGGUUGGGGAGGCUGGGCCAUGUCUCAUCUGCCUCCAAGCUCUGCGGGCUCAGAGGAGGGGCCGGGGCAAAGGGCAGCUGGCCUGAUUGAAAAUUGGAACUGCAGGCCAGCUACCGCCCUUCUGGAAGGCAACUGUUUAUCACGAACCAAGGAGCAAGCUGGGCGUGGUGGCUCACGCCUGUAAUCCCAGCACUUUGAGAGGCUGAGGCGGAUGGAUCACGAGGUCAGGAGAUCGAGACCAUCCUGGCUAACACGGUGAAACCCCAUCUCUACUAAAAAUACAAAAAAUUAGCC
rnacentral:lncRNA from 10 species